rnacentral:rRNA from 1 species
UACGAAGGGGCUAGCGUUGUUCGGAAUUACUGGGCGUAAAGCGCGUGUAGGCGGGUCUUUAAGUCAGGGGUGAAAUGCCAAGGCUCAACCUUGGAACUGCCUUUGAUACUGGAGAUCUUGAGUCCGGGAGAGGUGAGUGGAAUUGCGAGUGUAGAGGUGAAAUUCGUAGAUAUUCGCAAGAACACCAGUGGCGAAGGCGGCUCACUGGCCCGGAACUGACGCUGAGACGGCGAAAGCGUGGGGAGCAAACAGGGAUUAAGAAACCCG